rnacentral:lncRNA from 1 species
AACUGCCGCCUCUAAACUCUCUCAUCUUCUCCAACUCUCUCUAGCCUCCAAAACCCUAGCCCUGUUCCGCUUACUUCCAUCUCAUUCUCACCGGAAUCAAUGGUGUCUCAAACCCUGAGCAGCCUGUACCUCAUAUCUUCACCGAUUCAUGUUUCACGGCCAUUUCCGGCUUAGCCCUGGCACAUCUUGGUCCUAUGAACCUACCUCUGGCUCAUCCAGCUCGGAGGAGAUGUUUUCGAGGUUGUUCUCGCUUCUAGGGUUCUUCUGAAACCUUAGCCUUUCGAGGUUCUCCGAUUUCC